CUCACACCGGAGCCUGAGCCACAGCAGGUGUGUGAUCUGGAACCCCACCAAGCCUGUUCACCCCACAGCUGUGGGCGAAGGCAGAGCUGUCCUGCGGUUUCGUGCUGUGGCUGUUGCUCAGGUACCGCUUAUGGGCUGUCCCUUUUCACAGCUUUUCUCUUAGCUCGAGAUUUGGGCUGAGUUGGGGAGGGAAGCUGCUGUAUUCUGUCUGGGUCUGUUUUCUUUCUGCUCUUGGUAGAAGAAGUACACUUGUCAUGUAGUGGGUAAUUUUUCUCCUUCAACCUCCAUCUGCUUUUUCUGAGAAAGUGAAGUCCAUACAUAAGAGGUUCUGGGAGAGAACGUGAGGGGGAGAUGGAGGAGCAGAGUGAAGGGAGAGGGAGGAGGGGAGAUGGGAGUCUGGCCAGUGCUCCCAGCCCAUAUUGUGUUGUGGAGACUUACAAACUGACAAUUCUCUGCCAUGGUCCUCUGUGGUAAAGGGAAGAGGAGGAGUCAGGAGAAGAGAAAGAGCAGAGAGUUAGGCAGGUGGCACAGUGCUGCUCGCCUGCAGGGUGCCUUUGUGAGAAUUAGAAAAUGGUGCCUGCUCUGGGUGCACAUGGUCUCAUGCCAGCCCUCACAGAGCUCUGCACGCACAGCACAGGCUGGGUUUCGGUCUCCACUGUCUUAUCUGCUUAGAGGCUUGUUCAGUGAACAGCCUGCACAACUGUGACCAGCAGGCCUGACUAGGAGAAGACCGGUCCCAAAUGCUGUGGAAGAUGAGGGCUCACAAAGGAACUGAGAUAAGUGAAGAGCUGGUAAGCCUCAGCGGCAGAAUCCGAACCUAGACAGUGGGGCUCCAGAAGAUUCCAGUAAGUCUGUGACCUUAAACCACUAAAUUACGCAACUCCUGAUGCACAGUAGACUCUCAUCCUCAUAGGUGUAGCAGAUUUCUGUUAACAGAAUUAUACAGACUUGAUAAAUUUGGCACCUCCUAAAGACAAUAAAAAAGCUAAGUUGAGAAGAAUCCAACUUAUUUCACGGAGGGACCUAUACACAGUUAACUUAAGCACAAAUAUAUAUUCAACAGCCACUAAGCAUGCCGGUCCACUUUGGCGUUAACUACGAAACCUUUGUCACCAGGGCACUGAUGAACCUCUCAGCCAAGUGAAAUCAUUAUCUGGGCACUGACCCUGUCUUCAACUGUGUCAAACGCUAGUGAUGUUCAAGUGGAAGAGCACGGAGAAUUGUCCCUUGGAUUUGUUAAUGUAGUAGUGACCUUCUCAAGAGCAGCCUCAUCUGAAAGGUGUUGGCAAAGCCUUGAUGGCAGUGUGUUCCAGAGAGAAUUUUCCAUUUGAAUCAAGUGAAAGGUUAAAGAUUGGGGCCUUCGUUAGCUGUAUCUCUAGCUCUUUAUUUCGUUUAGUUAUAUUUUAUUCCUUUGCUCCUGCUUGAAUCUGUGCAAAGGUUGGAGAUGCUGUUCUGCAGACGCCUCGGCUGCAGUUGCCUUCGCAUGACGGGGACCCGCUCUCUGCAGCAGAGUGAUGAGACUACUGGAGUAUGAGCUGAGAACAGCUGGGCUCCGGAGGGAGUCUCUCACCGUUUAACCAAAGGUCACCCCUGCAGCCCUUCCUGUACCUGCCUGCGGAGAUGUGAGAAAGCAGGCAGCCCAGCAACUACAGUGUCUUCAGUUAUGAAAGGAGGCAACUGGCCUCUAUGACCGUGAAGGUCCCUUAUGGUGCUCUGAGCUGAUCUCACAUGACUGUAAGUUCCAUGGGUUGAGAGCAAUUUUUGUGUGUGUGUGUGAGGAAGAUUGGCCCUGAGCUAACAUCUGUGUCAAUCUUCCUCUAUUUUAUGUGGGAUGCCGUCACAACAUGGCUUGAUGAGCAGUGCCAUGUCUGCACCUGGAAUCCAAACCUGUGAACCCCUGGCUGCCAAAGUGGAGCACGUGAACCUAACUGCUAUGCCACCAAGCUCGCCCAUGAGAGCAAUUUUUAAAAAAUUUUUUUUGUUUUACUUCCUGACAAAUAGGAAAGAUUGUUUCAGAAAUGAAGUUUAUUUUGGAGCCCCAUACAAAGAAUAAUAACAUGAAACUGUCUUUCCAUUCCUCUUUUAAUAUGUCUCUGCCAGGCUUUUUGAAUAUUUAACGUGCUUUCCUGUGACAUUUUAGAAAUUUUCAUUAAGGGCAUAUGGUUUAAAGCUUAAAAGCCAGGUUUUAGCAUCAGAUGGAUCUGAAUUGAAGUUCUUUCAUGGCCAUUUGUUAGCUGUGUGACCAAAGGCAAAUUAGGCAGCGCCUCUGAACCCCUGUUGUCUCAAACAUAAAUUGGGGAUAAUACAAAUACCUUUCUCAUGGGUUUCUGUGGGGAUUAAGUGAGAAAAAUGAGUGUUAAGAGCCUGGCAUGCGGUCUGGCACAUAGUAUGAACUCACUAGCUGCUCUCACCACCACCACCACCACCUGUGAAGUAGGAAAGGCCAAAGAGAAUCAACCCAUAUUGCAGAUAGAGAAACCAGAAUCCAUAUUUGACUGGCCAGAAACAGCAAGAGAACCGAGUUGCACCCGCUCGUCAAUUAAGCUGUCUUUAUUUAUUAGCUUCCUUCCCCCAUUGUGAACGUAAACCACAAAAGCAUCCAAACCCUGCUUUGGAAGAGUGUUGGAGUGGAUGGAGGGGCUUCGCCUCAGUGGGAGCAUCCAGGAGGAGGGAGAGCUUCCUUUCCACGUGCAACCAGAGGCGGACAUGCCGAAAGCUGAGUGUGACGGUGACACACUGGGUGUGAAUGUUCCAGCAAACAACUUGGAACCAGGGAGAAGAGGGAUGACGCUGUUCCAACUGGGUGGCUGACCGCAGCACUCUGCUCUCAUGGCAGAGUAAUCGGCGAGGACGCAACCUUUGUCUGAUUCCCCUGAUAUAGUCUGACCUGGAGCUGGGAGGGUUGGAAUUUUGUUUCCUUCUGUUUGGUUUUUAACGACAAAGAGGGAUGAAUGUGGG
ensembl:lncRNA